UGCAAGUCGAGCGAGAAAGGGAACUUCGGUUCCUGAGUAGAGCGGCGGACGGGUGAGUAACACGUGGGUAAUCUGCCCUUGGGUGGGGAAUAACUCAGGGAAACCUGGGCUAAUUCCGCAUGACACUUUUGAUACAUACGUAUUGAGAAUCAAAGCUGGGGACCCUUCGGGGCCUGGCGCCUGAGGAGGAGCCUGCGGCCAAUUAGCUUGAUGGUGAGGUAACGGCUCACCAUGGCUACGAUUGGUAGCCGGCCUGAGAGGGCGAACGGUCACACUGGGACUGAGACACGGCCCAGACUCCUACGGGAGGCAGCAGUGGGGAAUUUUUGUCAAUGGGGGAAACCCUGAACAAGCAACGCCGCGUGAAGGACAAAGACCCUCGGGUUGUAAACUUCUGUCGGAGGGGACGAAAGCUUUCGUGGUUAAUACCCAUGAUGGUUGACGGUACCCUAUGAGGAAGCCCCGGCUAACUCCGUGCCAGCAGCCGCGGUAAUACGGGGGGGGCAAGCGUUGUUCGGAAUUACUGGGCGUAAAGGGCGCGCAGGCGGGCGGGAAAGUCUCUCGUGAAAUCCCACGGCUCAACCGUGGAAUUGCGGGAGAUACUACUCGUCUUGAGUCCGGGAGAGGAGUGUGGAAUUCCCAGUGUAGCGGUGAAAUGCGUAGAUAUUGGGAGGAACACCGGUGGCGAAGGCGGCACUCUGGACCGGUACUGACGCUGAGGCGCGAAAGCUAGGGGAGCAAACGGGAUUAGAUACCCCGGUAGUCCUAGCUGUAAACGCUGA
rnacentral:rRNA from 1 species